GCUCGCGUGGUCUAACGCAUGAUGACGCUUCGGUCCUAACGAAGAGAUCCGGGUUGGAUUCCCGGCGCGAGUUCCA
rnacentral:tRNA from 1 species